rnacentral:rRNA from 1 species
GACGAACGCUGGCGGCGUGCCUAAUACAUGCAAGUCGAACGGAGUGGCGCACGGGUGAGUAAUAUAUAGCUAAUCUGCCCCUUGCUGGAGGACAACAGUUAGAAAUGACUGCUAAUACUCCAUAGCAAGGGAUGAGACUAUAUCGUAUCAGCUAGUCGGUGGGGUAACGGCCUACCGAGGCUAUGACGCGUAACUGGUCUGAGAGGAUGAUCAGUCACAUGGGAAAGGAGACACGGGCAAAACGCCUACGGGAGGCAGCAGUAGGGAAUAUUGCGCAAGGGGGGAAACCCUGAAGAAGCAACGCCGCGUGGAGGAUGACACUGUUCGGAGCGUAAACUCCUUUUGUUAGGGAAGCGGUAACUAACGAAUAAGCACCGGCUAACGCCGUGCCAGCAGCCGCGGUAAUAC